AGCAGUAGCAACAGCGGCGACUCACUGGAUUUACACAAAAACAUUUCACUAAAAUACACAAAUGCCGGUACGCAGAACGCUUAGGUUUUAUGUAACUACGAAUGGAUCGUAUAAAAAGGCGUUUGUGAAGAAUUAUUUGUAAACGUGAUCCAGUUUUAAACGGUUUUAGCGUCUUUGUACAGCUUCCGAUUUCUGAGGUAACCAUAGAUAUCGAAGACACAGGAGCGCUUUAAUUUUAUCUACUCGCACUCGCCGAGGAUCGCGGUAAAUCCUCAAAUUUGAUUUUUAAACAUUCUGAGAGGAUUUCUGUCAAGAAACGCUGAGCAAGGAAUCAAAUCCAGUCAAGAGACGGAUCCAGUCAACCUCGGGCAGCCGGAGUGGAAGACUGCCUGCUAGGUUGAGGAGAUUUGGGGUACCUCGUAGACCCCUAGAUUCCUCCGAUGAACCCCAUCAACUCCAUGAAACCUGCCCUGCCUCCAACGCCACACAGUGACGCCUCAUACCCAUAUGAUCCUGUCCCCUGGCAGCAAGGCCCCAAUCAGCCUGCCGGCUCCCUCUCUGUGGUAACCACAGUGUGGGGGGUAACCAAUCCUUCACCCAGCCAGGUUUUUGGUGCUCCCAUGGGUCCAGGCGGAAACUCAGGCGGUGGUCACAUGAUGCCUGGCAACAGCCCGGGCAUGAACUCCUCUCAGUUUAUGAGCCAGCAGGGCUACCCGGAGCCCAACAAGGGGUACAUGCAGCAGGGCAUGUAUGGGCGGCCCAGCGGGGGAUACCCAGCAGGGCCUGGAUAUGGGGGCAGCUACCCCAAUAACGGAGGGGGUUCCCUCGGGAUGCCGCCACAUGGAGUACGCCAGUCCACAGACUUCACCCAGGCGGCCGCCGCCGCUGCCGUGGCUGCGGCCGCUGCCACCGCAACGGCCACUGCCACAGCAACAGUUGCCGCUAUACAGGAGAAGCAAAACCAGGAGAUGAACUACGGGCCUAUGGGUGGCGCUUCCUCUUACAACACCCAGUUCCUGUCACACUCCGGACCCCGCGGCCCACCCGGCAUGGCCCCCUCAGGAAUGGUAGGCUCCAGACCCCCUUCCAUGGGACCCAUGUACGCGCAGCAGGGCCAGAGGUUGCCCCAGCAUCCGGUGUAUCAGGGAGGCCAGCAGGUUCCUCAACGACACCCGCAGGGACUGAAACGCCCCUAUAACGCCGAUGGAUUUCCGGGUCAGCAGUAUGGCCCUGGGAUGGGUGCUGGGGGGCCUUACCCAGGCCAGCCCAUGCAGUACGGUCCUGGGCCACAGCGGUCUGCGCCGUCUCCAUCUUACCCAACCCACAGAAUGCCCAUCCAGCAACCCAAUAUGGGCCAGUAUCCUGCAGGACCAGGAAACCCUGGCCAGUACUACAAGGCGGACCAGUUUAAUGGACAGGGCAACAGCCACACCAGUCUAUCAUCUGGAGUGACAGGAUCUGGCUACAACACCUUCAGCCAGGCCGCUGUCAAUGGGCCUGGACGCUCGAUGCCUGGAUACCCCAGCUCCCCCCUCCCGGGAAAUCCCACUCCUCCCAUGACCCCUGGCAGUUCUAUGCCGUACAUGUCCCCCGGCCAAGAUGUGAAAUCGCCCUUCCUCCAUGAUGUCAAACCUAACAUCAACUCUCUGCAGCCCCCUACAGGGAACCCCAGUGAUGACCUGCGUCUGACUUUUCCCGUACGGGACGGUGUCGUGUUGGAGCCCUUCCGACUGGAGCACAACUUAGCCGUCAGCAACCACGUCUUCCAGCUGCGAGACUCCGUCUACAAGACCCUCAUGAUGAGGCCAGACCUGGAGCUUCAGUUUAAGUGCUAUCAUCACGAAGACAGGCAGAUGAACACCAAUUGGCCGGCGUCGGUGCAGGUGAGCGUCAACGCCACGCCUCUCACCAUUGAGCGUGGGGAUAACAAGACCUCCCACAAACCCUUGUACCUGAAGCAAGUCUGCCAGCCGGGACGCAACACUAUACAGAUAACGGUCACGGCCUGCUGCUGUUCUCAUCUGUUUGUACUGCAGCUGGUUCACAGGCCGUCCGUGCGCUCCGUUCUUCAGGGUCUGAUGAAGAAAAGGCUCCUGCCAGCGGAGCACUGUGUCACUAAGAUUAAGAGGAACUUCAGUAGCGGUACCAUCCCGGGAACUCCCGGGCUCAACGGCGAGGACGGCGUGGAACAGACGGCCAUCAAAGUCUCGCUCAAGUGUCCAAUCACCUUUCGCCGCAUCCAGCUUCCUGCCAGGGGCCAUGACUGCAGACACAUACAGUGCUUUGAUCUGGAGUCCUACCUGCAGCUAAACUGUGAAAGGGGAACUUGGCGUUGUCCUGUGUGCAAUAAGACCGCUCUUCUGGAAGGGCUAGAAGUGGAUCAGUACAUGCUGGGCAUUCUUAUAUACAUCCAGAAUUCGGACUAUGAAGAGAUCACCAUUGAUCCAGUGUGCAGCUGGAAACCAGUCCCGGUGAAACCAGACCUGCAUAUUAAAGAGGAUCCAGACGGCCCUGCCCUGAAACGCUGUCGCACCCUUAGUCCCAGUCACAUGAUCCUGCCUAGCGUAAUGGAGAUGAUUGCAGCGUUGGGCCCGGCCUCCUCGCCCUACCAGUCUUUACCACAAGGUGGAAGUAGCAGCACGCCUGAUUAUCCCAACCAAGGUGGUUCAGGAUAUUCCAACCAGUCUGGCUUUUCGGACUUUCCCAAUGCUCCCGGCACCCCGACCCUGGGGGAAUUUGCCUCCGGACCGCCCCCUCUUUCCUACCAGUCUGACCUACCUAGUGGUCUCCUUACUCCUGAAAAACCUGUGGGACACCCAAUGUCAGGACAGAUGUCCCAUUCUAGUCGAAUGGACCCAUCCCACAAUCCCCUCCAACAGCAACAACAACAACAGCAGCAGCAGCAGCAGCAUCAAGGUCUUCAUGGUAACCCCAACAUGGGUGGCCCCGGAGGACCCAUGCAUUCCCGCAACCCCUCCCAGAACACGCGGAUGCACGCAGAUAGUUUUGGGCUGGGGGGACCCGGAGACGUUCCAGAGCCUCCCCUUGAUGUAAGUCAGAAUCAGUCAUGUAUUCCACGUCAACACAGCGAUGACUUUGGAGUUCAAGGAAUUCAAAUGAACUCGACACAAACAACAAAUGUCAGGUUGUAGGCCGCCAUUGUUGUCUUGGUUAUAAUCACGCAUGCCUGUAGACUGCAUUAACACAUGCGCAUGAUGUCACCGUUAUUCACGUUUACGUAAUCAAAAACUUGCACUUUAAACCCGUCUCCAAAAGUAUGCGUUUUCAGGACACCAAAGCGCUGUUGUUGUGUAAACGAACAGCCAAACUGCACAAAAACUUUCAAUCAUUGUCGUGUACACGACCCCUAAGCCUUGUGGUAUCUUCUAAUGGGCUGAUGGGUUGAAUCAGCUUCUCCCAGAACUGACGAACCCAGAUGAGUUGCUGUCCUACUUGGGUCCGCCCGACCUUCCUAACAACAGCAGCGAUGACCUGCUCUCUCUGUUCGAGAGCAACUGAUCCCGUUCAUUCCUCCGCCCUGCGUCACCGUCCAACAGACAAGCCUCCCCCUGCACGCUCUCGGCCCACCGCAGGGAGGUUUGGGAAGUGUAACAGAUAGCCAAUUGCGCCCUUUCCUUUUGAGACUCAUGGGAAGGCGCAACAGAGAUCUUUUUUCCUGUGACAAUGUUACCGUUCGUCUGCUUCGCUGAACUCUGUCAAGAUUUUAUUGUGAAUUCAUUUCGGAAAAAGUUCCUUUCUUACGAGCUGCGCUCUCGGAUCAUUUGUAGAAAGACGCCUCAUCUCGCAUCUGACUCGUGUGUGGUGUAAAUGACAUUGUGUGGUGGGGAGGGGUGGGACGGGUCCGGACAUCAUUAGUUUUUUCAUUGCAGCUCCUGUUUAAAAUCUAAAUUAGACAACAAAAAAAGAAAUGGGCGGAGCCAAAGCGUUUUACUUCUGAUGUGACACAAAAAAUAGUUUUACUAAUGCAUAACGUAAAUCACAACUUCUUACAUAAACAGGAAGGCUUUUUUGCCCAAAGAUAGCUCCAUGUAACAUUUAUUUUACUUAAAGAAAACUCAAGUGUAGCCUUUUUCCUAAAAACACGCUGAUCGAAGCAAUCGCAAUGUGUUAGACAGUACCAUUAAAAAAAUGCACACUUUAUUGCACACAUGGAUGUUUCGAUACUGUUUUGCCUACAGAAACAUACAAUAACAGGCAAUGAAUCCGUUUUAGGUAACACACACAUGCACACCUUUAGUCACCCUUAGUGUGUGUUUUGGCACAAAAACAAACUUUUAUACCACACCCUGCUUUCAAAAACCUGUCUGUUCCCCCUGACGACUAUUUUUUUUUAUAAAGUCUUCCUCCUUGUGAAUUUCGGGUCACAAGGUCUACGGAUUUCUACGAUGCCAUUCGAACCCCUCACUCGCAUUUCAGUUGCCUCUUAAAUAUGCAAGUGAGAGACUUUAGGCUGCUAUAUGGUAUAAAAAUGAAAUGCGACCGCAUUUAAGACUUCGAAACCAUGCAGAAAGUGCAGGCAGCCCUGUAGCAACUUGUAGACAGGUUAUUAAACACACAAACGCACACAACUUUGGCGCAAAUCUUCCCAUAGUUUUUGCUCGGACAGAUCUGGGUGGGUAGCUAACAGGAAACGGACUGACUUUAUACCUGCAAACAUUGGUAUACAUUGGGAUUCAUGUGAAAUAUGUACAGAUAUAGUAUUAUUAUUGUUGCAGAUGUGAACUUUCUCUUAACCCCAUAAUAAUAUGAAAAAAAUGAACAUUUUAAACACUAUGACAAGAGCUGGUGUCAGACAUGCUGUUUAUUACCCCUGUUCGUUCUCAUUCAAUACUCAUGUUCUCGAUGGAUGGAGAUGAGUCUGCUGUCGUGUCUUGUCUCAUUUUAUUUAUCAUCACUCUCUGUUAGCAAAGUGCAGUUUGUAUAUUAACAAUACAGGGAGCACCGGGAGUUGUUGGAUAUGUGCUUAUGUUUUUCCUUUUAAAGUCAUUUGUGUAUCAUACAAUUUUAUCUUUUGAUUAUAUAAUAAUUGUUAUUAUAAUUAUAAAGACAAUUGAUGGGCCUGUAUGCAUCUCUCUGUCUCUCUUCUGUGUUAACUAGCAGAGUUUAUGAAUUUGUUAGAAAGAGAAAAACAACAUGAAUUCAUCAUCAUCUAAGAUCUAUGACCAUGGGAAGCUUGGAGACCUGCAUCAUGUCGCGUUCACUUGUUGAUCAAACUGUUGGAAAAGAUGUUUGACUGUCACGUGUUGGUGGAUCAUUACGUUCUAUCAAUUGGAUUAAAACAUGUACAAUUGAAAUCGAUUUGUUUUUCUAAGGAUGUGAAAUAUUUCCAUUAUGUUUUGUAAGUAAAGACUUAAGCCCCA